rnacentral:lncRNA from 1 species
UUCUGGCUCUCCUGUUGCCUUUGCAGCUCGGGCAUCAACUCCUCGCCAACAUUGAGACGACAAACAAGGCGGUGGAAGGUCAGCAGGCCGAGGCUGCCCACCUUAAGAAAAUGGCCCUCGAGGUGGCCGGUCUCCGAGAGGCGCUUGAGAGGGAGAGACAGACCUCGACGGAACAGAAGGCCGACCUGGAGGAGAUGGUGAGGAGGGCGGAGG